UACGUAGGGUGCAAGCGUUGUCCGGAGUUAUUGGGCGUAAAGAGCUCGUAGGCGGUCUGUCGCGUCGGCUGUGAAAACUCGGGGCUCAACUCCGAGCUUGCAGUCGAUACGGGCAGGCUAGAGUUCGGCAGGGGAGACUGGAAUUCCUGGUGUAGCGGUGAAAUGCGCAGAUAUCAGGAGGAACACCGGUGGCGAAGGCGGGUCUCUGGGCCGAUACUGACGCUGAGGAGCGAAAGCGUGGGGAGCGAACAGG
rnacentral:rRNA from 1 species